rnacentral:rRNA from 1 species
GAACGGUAACAUAGCUAGCUUGCUAGCUGAUGACGAGUGGCGGACGGGUGAGUAACGCGUAGGAAUCUACCUAUUAGUGGGGGACAACCUGGUGAAAACCAGGCUAAUACCGCAUACGCCCUACGGGGGAAAGCAGGGGAUCUUCGGACCUUGCGCUAUUAGAUGAGCCUGCGUUAGAUUAGCUUGUUGGUGAGGUAAUGGCUCACCAAGGCGACGAUCUAUAGCUGGUCUGAGAGGAUGAUCAGCCACACUGGGACUGAGACACGGCCCAGACUCCUACGGGAGGCAGCAGUGGGGAAUAUUGCGCAAUGGGCGAAAGCCUGACGCAGCCAUACCGCGUGUGUGAAGAAGGGUUUAGGCUCGUAAAGCACUUUAAGUAGGGAGGAAGGCCUGUAAAUUAAUACUUGCAGGAUGACG